AUUAGAGAAUAAAUGUUUGACUCUUUCCCAAAGCAAAUAUUGUCCCUGGAGCCGAUCGAAGCUGCUGCAAAUCAGAGCUGGUGGGUCAGGAGCCCGCGCUGGAGGGUCUCGAUGACCCUGCGUCAUGUGGAUGGACCACGUUUUGUUCAUCGCUCCGACAUGGACAGAUGACCUGAGCAGCUUCCCCGUCUUGGCCGCCGCAUCGGGGCGCAUCCCACGGAUGUUUGAUGGCCGUGCUGCUGCGGCUCUCUUCCCCU
rnacentral:lncRNA from 1 species